GUCUCUGUGGCGCAAUGGUUCAGCGCGUUCGGCUGUUAACUGAAACGCUGGUGGUUCGAGCCCACCCAGGGAUG
rnacentral:tRNA from 1 species